rnacentral:rRNA from 1 species
AUACGUAGGGGGCGAGCGUUGUCCGGAAUGACUGGGCGUAAAGGGCGUGUAGGCGGCCGAUUAAGUCUGGAGUGAAAGUCCUGCUUUCAAGGUGGGAAUUGCUUUGGAGACUGGUUGGCUUGAGUGCGGAAGAGGUAAGCGGAAUUCCCAGUGUAGCGGUGAAAUGCGUAGAGAUUGGGAGGAACACCAGUGGCGAAGGCGACUUACUGGGCCGUAACUGACGCUGAGGCGCGAAAGCGUGGGGAGCGAACAGGAUUAGAUACCCUGGUAGUCCACGCUGUAAACGAUGAAUGCUAGGUGUAGGGGGUAUCGACCCCUCCUGUGCCGGAGUAAACGCAAUAAGCAUUCCGCCUGGGGAGUACGGCCGCAAGGUUGAAACUCAAAGGAAUUGACGGGG